GAGCUUGCUCUCUGGGUGGCGAGUGGCGGACGGGUGAGGAAUACAUCGGAAUCUACCUUUUCGUGGGGGAUAACGUAGGGAAACUUACGCUAAUACCGCAUACGACCUACGGGUGAAAGUGGGGGACCGCAAGGCCUCACGCGAUUAGAUGAGCCGAUGUCCGAUUAGCUAGUUGGCGGGGUAAUGGCCCACCAAGGCGACGAUCGGUAGCUGGUCUGAGAGGAUGAUCAGCCACACUGGAACUGAGACACGGUCCAGACUCCUACGGGAGGCAGCAGUGGGGAAUAUUGGACAAUGGGCGCAAGCCUGAUCCAGCCAUACCGCGUGGGUGAAGAAGGCCUUCGGGUUGUAAAGCCCUUUUGUUGGGAAAGAAAUCCUGUCGAUUAAUACUCGGUGGGGAUGACGGUACCCAAAGAAUAAGCACCGGCUAACUUCGUGCCAGCAGCCGCGGUAAUACGAAGGGUGCAAGCGUUACUCGGAAUUACUGGGCGUAAAGCGUGCGUAGGUGGUGGUUUAAGUCUGCUGUGAAAGCCCUGGGCUCAACCUGGGAAUUGCAGUGGAUACUGGGUCACUAGAGUGUGGUAGAGGGAUGCGGAAUUUCUGGUGUAGCAGUGAAAUGGCGUAGAGAUCAGAAGGAACAUCCGUGGGCGAAAGCGGCAUCCUGGGCCAACACUGACACUGAGGGCACAAAAG
rnacentral:rRNA from 1 species